rnacentral:rRNA from 1 species
GACGAACCGUGCGAACGUUGUUCGGAUUCACUGGGCUUAAAGGGCGCGUAGGCGGUCGACCAAGUCUGGGGUGAAAUCUUUCGGCUCAACCGGAAAAGUGCCCCCGAUACUGGCCGGCUAGAGGGAGAUAGGGGCAUGCGGAACUUCCGGUGGAGCGGUGAAAUGCGUAGAUAUCGGAAGGAACGCCGGUGGCGAAAGCGGCGUGCUGGAUCUCUUCUGACGCUGAGGCGCGAAAGCCAGGGGAG